rnacentral:rRNA from 1 species
AUACGGAGGAUGCGAGCGUUAUCCGGAUUUAUUGGGUUUAAAGGGUGCGUAGGCUGUGCGUUAAGUCAGGGGUGAAAUGCCGUCGCUCAACGACGGAGCUGCCCUUGAUACUGGCGUGCUGGAGUACGGAUGCCGUUGGAGGAAUGAGUGGUGUAGCGGUGAAAUGCUUAGAUAUCACUCAGAACACCGAUUGCGAAGGCAUGGGAGGAACCCGUCACUGACGCUGAGGCACGAAGGCGUGGGGAUAGAACAGGAUUAGAUACCCUGGUAUUCCACGCCGUAAACGAUGAUGACUAACCGUCGGCGAUAGACAGCCGGUGGCCAAGCGAAAGCGAUAAGUCAUCCACCUGGGGAGUACGUCGGCAACGAUGAAACUCAAAUGAAUUGACGGGG